AGCUCGAUAGCGCAACGGUAGCGCGUCUGUUCUCUAUUGUGGAUCGGAGUGGACCUAAUGGUUGAUGGAAGAUCUCGGUUCGACUCUGAGUCGAGCUA